GACGAACGCUGGCGGCGUGCUUAACACAUGCAAGUCGAACGGAAAGGCCCUGCUUUUGUGGGGUGCUCGAGUGGCGAACGGGUGAGUAACACGUGAGUAACCUGCCCUUGACUUUGGGAUAACUUCAGGAAACUGGGGCUAAUACCGGAUAGGAGCUCCUGCUGCAUGGUGGGGGUUGGAAAGUUUCGGCGGUUGGGGAUGGACUCGCGGCUUAUCAGCUUGUUGGUGGGGUAGUGGCUUACCAAGGCUUUGACGGGUAGCCGGCCUGAGAGGGUGACCGGGCACAAUGGGACUGAGAUAGGGAGCAGAAUCCUACGGGAGGCAGCAGUGGGGAAUAUUGCGCAAUGGGCGGAAGCGUGAGGCGGCAACGCCGCGUGCGGGAUGACGGCCUUCGGGUUGUAAACCGAUUUCGACUGUGACGAAGCGUGAGUGACGGUAAUGGGUAAAGAAGCACCGGCUAACUACGUG
rnacentral:rRNA from 1 species